rnacentral:rRNA from 1 species
AGUGAACGCUGGCGGUAGGCCUAACACAUGCAAGUCGAACGGCAGCACAGUAAGAGCUUGCUCUUACGGGUGGCGAGUGGCGGACGGGUGAGGAAUACAUCGGAAUCUACUUUUUCGUGGGGGAUACGUAGGGAAACUUACGCUAAUACCGCAUACGACCUACGGGUGAAAGCAGGGGAUCUUCGGACCUUGCGCGAUUGAAUGAGCCGAUGUCGGAUUAGCUAGUUGGCGGGGUAAAGGCCCACCAAGGCGACGAUCCGUAGCUGGUCUGAGAGGAUGAUCAGCCACACUGGAACUGAGACACGGUCCAGACUUCUACGGGAGGCAGCAGUGGGGAAUAUUGGACAAUGGGCGCAAGCCUGAUCCAGCCAUACCGCGUGGGUGAAGAAGGCCUUCGGGUUGUAAAGCCCUUUUGUUGGGAAAGAAAAGCAGCAGGUUAAUACCCCGCUGUUCUGACGGUACCCAAAGAAUAAGCACCGGCUAACUUCGUG